AUUGAACGCUGGCGGCAGGCUUUACACAUGCAAGUCGAACGGCAGCGCGGGCUUCGGCCUGGCGGCGAGUGGCGAACGGGUGAGUAAUGCAUCGGAACGUGCCCAGUAGUGGGGGAUAGCGCGGCGAAAGCCGGAUUAAUACCGCAUACGACCUGAGGGUGAAAGCGGGGGACCGAAAGGCCUCGCGCUAUUGGAGCGGCCGAUGUCGGAUUAGCUAGUUGGUGGGGUAAAGGCUUACCAAGGCGACGAUCCGUAGCUGGUCUGAGAGGACGACCAGCCACACUGGGACUGAGACACGGCCCAGACUCCUACGGGAGGCAGCAGUGGGGAAUUUUGGACAAUGGGGGCAACCCUGAUCCAGCCAUGCCGCGUGCGGGAAGAAGGCCUUCGGGUUGUAAACCGCUUUUGUUUGGGAAGAAAUCCUCUGGGCUAAUACCCCGGGGGGAUGACGUUACCGGAAGAAUAAGCACCGGCUAACUACGUG
rnacentral:rRNA from 1 species